GCUUCGAUGGCGCAGUGGCAGCGCACCGUCUUGGUACGACGGAGGCCGCGGGUUCGACCCCCGCUCGAAGCU
rnacentral:tRNA from 1 species